UGCUUGAUUUCUUUUUCCUGUUUCUAAGCAGAUCUGUGCAACGAACGCCCACGUCCUUGGGGGAGGGGUGGCCCUGUGUGCCCGAGGGUCUGGCCCCCGCCGACCUUCGCAGUCCCGGGGAGGUGCUGAGUUCUUUCCUUCGUCUGGCCUGAGGAUCCCCACGAUGACUGGCUGUUCUGCUUUUGGUCAGGUUCCUGCUUUGAGCUCUCAGCUGGUAGAUCGUUUCAGGAAGGAGGGACAGACGGCUGAAGAAUGGCAGACCGCAUGUUCAAGUCUCCAUUCCACCCAUGAGGCCACCUCCGAACCCUUCCACUGAGGCAGCAAGGAUGAAGCCUCAGGCUUGGAGGUACUGCCGCCGGUUGUCUUCUGACCUCACUCGCCCAACGGGGAAGCCGGGCUCCCUGAGACACAGCUGGGUGGUGGACUCU